AUUAACGCCAAGAACCUUACCAAGGCUUGACAUGAACCGGAAAGGCGUAGGAAUACGUCCCCCACUUGUGGUCGGUUUACAGGUGGUGCAUGGUUGUCGUCAGCUCGUGUCGUGAGAUGUUGGGUUAAGUCCCGCAACGAGCGCAACCCUCGUUCUAUGUUGCCAGCACGUGAUGGUGGGGACUCAUAGGAGACUGCCGGGGUCAACUCAGAGGAAGGUGGGGAUGACGUCAAAUCAUCAUGCCCCUUAUGUCUUGGGCUUCACGCAUGCUACAGUGGCCGGUACAAAGGGUUGCGAUACUGUGAGGUGGAGCUAAUCCCAAAAAGCCGGUCUCAGUUCGGAUUGGGGUCUGCAACUCGACCCCAUGAAGUCGGAGUCGCUAGUAAUCGCAGAUCAGCAACGCUGCGGUGAAUACGUUCCCGGGCCUUGUACACACCG
rnacentral:rRNA from 1 species